rnacentral:lncRNA from 1 species
GGCAGACCAGCCAAGGGCACCAGCCCUGACAGGCGCGGGGUUCAGCCUGGCCAGCCUAGAUGUGAGCUCAUUCCUCCCGAGACCACCGAUUCUUGGGUUCCUGCCCCUCCUCCCAAGGCCCGGGUCGCUUGCCGAGGGCCUGGCAUCAACCUUAUUGGUUGGGAGGGGGCUCUGAGGCCACCAGUCUGCAGGGUGCCCUUGACGCUGCCCCCCUGGCGCCAGGGAAACAAAAGGUUAGGGGCCCAGAGGGAGUUAUCUGGCCCCACCACCCCCGGGUGGGGGGAGGGGGCCUGAAGGGGCACACCUCCUCGCCACUCCCGCAGCUCUGAUUCUUCGAGACACUUUCACAGGCGGAAAUUCCCAGAGGUCAGAGGAGGGAAACGGUUAAUUCCUUUUAUUCAAUGGGUCCCCCCUACACGCCUCCCCCAACUUCCUCUCUCCACUUCCCGCCCCCCCCUGUGUGAACAGGAAGUGGAGAGGAAAAGGCUCUGAGCAGAGCAGCUGGGAUCAGGAGGCAGGGAGUGGGCUGCAGGCUUGAUGCCAGCCCUGCCCCUCAUGGUUGCUUGCUGGAGAGCCAGACUGACUUUGGCCUGGGAGAGAACCUGCAGUCCCCCACGCAGUGACAAGUGGCAGCUGAACUGGGAAACAGCCCAGUGUGCAAGCCCCCAUUCCCCAACCUGCUUCCAAGCCAGAGGCUGCUGUCCUGAGGGUGCAAGGCAUCUUUUGCCCAAGCCCCAGCUGCUCUGACCACCACAGCCCUGCCCCCACGGCCAGGCUGGGCAUCCCGAGGCUGGCAGGCAGCUCUUCAGGCAGCCGCCAAUCCUGGCACUGGCUCCACCACUCAGCCCCUUGGCCCUGCCAGUCCUUUGAAGCUCAUGCAGCGCUUCCUGUUUGGGGCAGGCGAUGCCAGGGCCCCUCCCCCACCAUUGUUCUGUAGAGACCAUAGGUCCAUCUGUUGCCCCAUGGUGGGGCCCCUAGGCAGUGCCACACGGGAGCAGCACCACAAAGGACCCUGCUGGCAGCUUUACUUAUGUGGAGCAAGGCUGGGCCCUGCAGCAGGUUGAGGGUGAAUGGUGGUCCGAGGCAGGCCUGGGGUAGGGGGAGGGGGGGAGUGGAAUAGAAGGAAGAUGGAUAGUUCUAAUGCUUGGGCAGCUGGAGCCCUUAGUUUCUCCUCUACCUGGACCAUGGAGAUGAUGAUAUUCAGGGAGCUAUGCAUGCUCAAGCCACCAAGAGAGGGAUACCUUUUUCAUGUCCAUAUUCUAAAGGGGGAAACUGGGGCAAAGGAACAAACUUUGGUCUGGGAUGAACAGUAAGAGGGACACUACAUAGAGUUUCCCCUUCAAGGAGAUUGGCCACCUCUGAAUGCCCAAGGGUGGGUGCUGGCCUCUUCCUGAACAGCUUUUCUUUUGCACAGCUUUUGCCCUGUAGUAAUCCUUGAGUUGAGCAGUAAGGAACCAUACCAUGAGGUCAUGGGAGAUUGAAUAGUCCUAGGUUGACAAUCAGCAACUUGAGUCCACUGAGAACGAAUCAGGGCAGAAAAAGGGAAAGGGGCACUGAUCUAACUCUCUGAAAAGUGAGUGGUUCCCAGGCUGCUGUGGCCAAAGGUAUGUUUGUUUCCCAGGUGCAGAGGCAGGUGCUAUAUAUCUCUGCGGCUCAUCAGCCCAAUCUCAGGGCCCUAACCCACAAUCUGCUUCUUCCCUGGCUUCACCAUAGGGUUAGAAGCCAACACACGGUCUACCCGACUUCCCUCACCAGAUCCUCUGGGUUCUCUUUCCAGCUCAGGAUCUUUCUGAGCUGCCACCAGAGCUGCAGAGACCUUGAAUAGAGACCAUAGAAUUCUGUGGAACACUUGUUCAAAUAAAAACUUUCAUGAAUGUCAGUACCUGAAAUUUAUAUACUGAGCAUCUCUGGUGGAAGCUAGGCUGCUAGAGGGUGCACACCCCUGUUCAUUCAGCCUGUCCUUUUCCUUCCUCAUUCCAAUCUCUGUGGGAUGCCAGAAUACCCAGGAACUCAGUUUGGAAAUCACUGAUCUACUAAUUUACCUCCUGAUUUUGCAGAUGCUGAAUCUAAGAGGAGAGAGAGAUUGGUGGCUAAAAGGCGGCUCCAUGCAGGGUCCUGUCCUUUCUCCAUGAGAUUCAGCAUCCGUUGGUAGUGAUUCCAUACCCAUGUUGUGAGCCAAAUAUUGUCCUCGACCCUCCAGGGUGCUUAUUUCCCAUCUCCAGGCAGUCUGUUGAGCUAAGGGGGAGGGAGGUUGAGCAAGUGCAGGUCUCUGCCCUGCCACUUACCAGAAGUCAGGCUAAUAAUGCCCCUCAAUUUCUUCAACUGUAAAAUGGGAAUGAAUACCACAGACCUUGAGUGGCUCUUGAGAAGCUUCACUGAGCACGGGGCAGUAGUCUGAAAAGUUAUCCCAGCGCCUAGCACGGAGCAGUCCUGGAUGCUUGCUUCUCUUGCCCUUUACUCUGUGCCUCAUUCUUUUCGGUUUGGGACUUUGUAAGGCCCUUGGUAGCUCUUGCCUCACAAACCUGUCUGAUUUCUUCAGGAAUUAAAAGUUGAGAAGAGCUUCUUGCCUAAUGAUGACUCUAGGGAAGAGAAGUUCAGGGUGAAAAUGAGGAAGCUGGUAGGCAUAUAGAAUGUGGCCACCUAGGUGGAUUGUUCCUUUGGGGGUCAAGUCCUGGUUUCCUAGAGGAAGGAGGGGACUGAUAGGAUUAUGGGCAGAACUUAUUCUGGCCACUGACCAGAUCUGGCUCCUCUGCCAGCCUCCCCUUCACGGUCUAUCCCAGAGCUUAUAUAACAGCCUAGCUGGCUGGCACUCCCCUGAGAGUCUCAGGAAGUCCCCUUGUCCCCCCCUUGACCCUUGACCCCUUCAGUCUGCUGCAAGAGGAAUUCCAAGCAGAUGUCUUCUCUUUUACCUUCUGCUCCUGGUCAUUUCCCUAAAAGCUGGAACUCAAGAGACACCCUUAACCCCCACCUUAUUACUCAUCCAUUCCCAUGCUUUCUAGUAUAGAUAGACCAGGAGGAGUCUCCACUGGGGAAGCUCCCCAUAUGUGCCAGGGGAGAUCCUUGGCCUCAUCGAGUAGGACACUUGGGAUAUGACUGUCUGAAGGGCUCAGGCUUCACCAGGAUUGCCCCCAUCCG